rnacentral:rRNA from 1 species
GACGAACGCUGGCGGCGUGCUUAACACAUGCAAGUCGAACGGAAAGGCCCUGCUUUUGUGGGGUGCUCGAGUGGCGAACGGGUGAGUAACACGUGAGUAACCUGCCCUUGACUUUGGGAUAACUUCAGGAAACUGGGGCUAAUACCGGAUAGGAGCUCCUGCUGCAUGGUGGGGGUUGGAAAGUUUCGGCGGUUGGGGAUGGACUCGCGGCUUAUCAGCUUGUUGGUGUGGUAGUGGCUUACCAAGGCUUUGACGGGUAGCCGGCCUGAGAGGGUGACCGGCCACAUUGGGACUGAGAUACGGACCAGACUCCUACGGGAGGCAGCAGUGGGGAAUAUUGCACAAUGGGCGGAAGCCUGAUGCAGCAACGCCGCGUGCGGGAUGACGGCCUUCGGGUUGUAAACCGCUUUCGCCUGUGACGAAGCGUGAGUGACGGUAAUGGGUAAAGAAGCACCGGCUAACUACGUG